rnacentral:misc_RNA from 1 species
CGAAGAGGUUUUGGGGCGUCUACACAAAGCUAAAAAUAUUUAACAUGACCACUUACAAGAAAGUGGUGUAUCUUGACGCUGAUACUAUUGUUGUUAAAAGCAUUGAAGAUCUGUUUAAAUGUGGGAAGUUCUGUGCAAAUUUAAAACAUUCUGAGAGACUGAAUUCUGGAGUCAUGGUGGUUGAGCCAUCAGAAAAAGUUUUUAAUGAUAUGAUGAGCAAGGUGACCACUUUGCCUUCUUACACUGGAGGUGAUCAAGGUUUUCUCAACUCCUACUAUGUUGGGUUUGCUAAUGCUCAGGUUUAUGAGCCAAAUUUGCCGUCAGAUGUCUUAAAUUCCAGAAAGGUUCCAGAAAUGGAGAGACUUUCUACUCUUUACAAUGCAGAUGUUGGCCUCUACAUGCUUGCUAACAAGUGG